CGAACGCUGGCGGCAGGCCUAAUACAUGCAAGUCGAGCGCACCUUCGGGUGAGCGGCGGACAGGUGAGUAACGCGUGGGAACGUGCCCUUUGGUUCGGAACAACACAGGGAAACUUGUGCUAAUACCGAAUGUGCCCUUCGGGGGAAAGAUUUAUCGCCAUUGGAGCGGCCCGCGUUGGACUAGGUAGUUGGUGGGGUAAAGGCCCACCAAGCCGACGAUCCAUAGCUGGUCUGAGAGGAUGAUCAGCCACACUGGGACUGAGACACGGCCCAGACUCCUACGGGAGGCAGCAGUAGGGAAUCUUGCGCAAUGGGCGAAAGCCUGACGCAGCCAUGCCGCGUGAAUGAUGAAGGUCUUAGGAUUGUAAAAUUCUUUCACCGGGGAAGAUAAUGACGGUACCCGGAGAAGAAGCCCCGGCUAACUUCGUGCCAGCAGCCGCGGUAAUACGAAGGGGGCUAGCGUUGCUCGGAAUUACUGGGCGUAAAGGGCGCGUAGGCGGAUAGUUUAGUCAGAGGUGAAAGCCCAGGGCUCAACCUUGGAACUGCCUUUGAUACUGGCUAUCUUGAGUUCGGGAGAGGUGAGUGGAAUGCCGAGUGUAGAGGUGAAAUUCGUAGAUAUUCGGCGGAACACCAGUGGCGAAGGCGACUCACUGGCCCGAUACUGACGCUGAGGCGCGAAAGCGUGGGGAGCAAACAGG
rnacentral:rRNA from 1 species